UUCAAGAUCGCGUGGACAUUGACGGGCCAAGCCCACCAAAACUGGCCCGCCGUUCUUCUCGGCGUCUCCGCCGCCACGCCAGGCUCUGGUAGCCUCAUACCCGGACCGGACCACCGGCCGCCGGUCCGCCGGCGACGAGGGGUACAUGCUCGGAGACCGCCGCCUUCCGUGGCUGUCCUCUUUAUCUGCGACGAGUUACUGUAGCCAGGUGCUCCUUCCCAUGUGAUUCUUCUGGGUGUGCCUCGCUGAAGCAUCUAUAGCAGUAUGCUUUCCCUAUCACCUUAAUGAUAGGAGCAUAUGUCGAUGAGAGAGAAGGUGGUGACAAGCUUCUGGCUGCCUCACCAAGCAUUGGAAUGGCAACCAGCACAGCUAAGACCAGCCAUAGGUGACCCUUUGGCCGGCCUCCGAUGUUCAUUUUCAUGGCUGAGCAGUGCUUUCUCUGGUGAGAGGAGGAGAGGGGAGAUUGUGAAUGAAUUUGGCUUUGGUAUGGGUAGGUAUUUAUAAUGUUCAAGGUGGCAUUUGGCAGGGUUUGUGACACAGCAGGUAGGGGGUGGAGGUGGCAGUAUGUCCAUCUGAAUGUUUAGUGCCUGCACUUUGUCACCCACUUGAUUUCAGGGGGAGUAUGAAACUAGGUGUGAUUUAAGAUAACAUUUUGUAGUUAGAGUACUAUUUAGUAUGGUGUAUAUAAAUCUUCUGGGAUGUAAUUUCAGAGAAUAAUACUGUAAAAUUUUAAGUGGCCGCAAAUAUAACAUUUUGUUAGUGAAGAAUUCACUAGCGUGAUA